rnacentral:rRNA from 1 species
CAAAGCCAUCCGGCAGCGAUUCGUCGCUCGCCGUAAAGUUUGGUGAAUCUGAGUAACCAUAGCGAACCGCACGGCCCAGCGCCGGCGGUCUGUCGGUCAAGCAACUGCCUUAUCAGCUUGUCGUUAGGUUACGUGCCUAACGAGGCGUCGACGGGUAACGAACGAUCGGGGUCUGACAUCGGAGAGGGAGCCUGAGAAACGGCUACCACAUCCAAGGAAGGCAGCAGGCGCGCAAAUUACCCACUCCCGGCACGGGGAGGUARUGACGAGAAAUAACGCUGCGGGGCACUGAUGUGUUCUCGCAAGCGCAAUGAGAACGCUUUAAAGCCUCUAACGAGUACCAACUGGAGGGCAAGUCUGGUGCCAGCAGCCGCGGUAAUUCCAGCUCCAGUAGCKUAUACUAAUGCUGCUGCGGUUAAAACGCUCGUAGUCGAAUUUGGGUGGCCGGCGGGCUCCCCGUGCCKCAAAGCGGUGCGWGAGGUGGCUGUAAGCAUCCUUCUGGUUGMGAGCCGCCSCAUGUKCGGYCACAAGGCCSYYUWGMGUUGMRCGCCWGCAMCAACUGUCGUGUGGUGCRUG